rnacentral:lncRNA from 1 species
UGUGUUGAAAACUCGAUCCAUUGCCUCAAGGUAAAAGUGUUGACGUGUGAAUUUUGGAGAAUCGAGUUUAUUAAAGUCCCUAGUGUUAGAGUAGGUGACCAACAAGCCAACUUGUGGCUGUGGUCUUUCGUAUUUAUUAUGGUAAUAAACGAACCUUUAUUCGUAUUAAUGAUAAAACACCUUGGCAUUCUAUAUCUUUGUCCCUUUGUCACAAGCAUAGAUAUAGUCCUUACAGUUAUUACAAGUACUAGUAAUUGAUCGUUAGGAUCGUGAGAUAUUUACUUAAGUAUUAUAACUGUUAAACGUGUUCCUAGUCGAAGGGUUACGCCACCAAUGAGGAUAUCGGCCUUUCCCAUUUGAAGACUAGCACUUAGUGUAUGUGUACUGCAUCUCAUUAGUAAACGGUAUUGUGAUAUCGGCAUGCAUAAGUGGGUGCUCGUAAGUUGACGAGUUCACUGAACUCCCUCACCCUAGAAAUCUCUAAGUGGUUCCCAAUAAUCGAGUAGAGAUAUCUAUGGUAUAGUUGUACACCAUUAGUCCUUAUGACCUAGACAUCACCGUGACUUCACUAGAGGACCAGCUGUAUCGUGACCUGUCUCUGAGUUCCACCGAGGACCAUCCCAAGGGCCAGUGUUCGUGCAGUCCGAAAUCUAGUGGGAGGUCUGUGCAUUGUAGUCGGGGAUUCGAUCGCUAGAAUAGUCUUGGAUGUCCUGUGUGUUCUGAAAGGUUGUAAUCAUUCUAAGUCUCUGGCCAGAGCUGACUAAGUGAUGAUUAGAGAAUUCGAUUCUCUAAGUCAUGCACGUGACGAUUACAAUACUUAGAACGAUCGCACCGUCAUUGAACAUAUAAAGAGGUCUCGAUGAACCAAUGCCUCUAGUUCAAUCGGGACAUAUGAAUCGAAGGGACCGUACUGUACGUUAACUAUAUCUGAAGGUUCUUGCAGGCACUUCAUUUGUAUCUAGGGAAUCAUGACGCGUAGUUGCUAGACGCCAAUCUUGAUUUGUUGGGUGAUUAAGGUGAAACGAGUUUCAUCUUAAGCGUAACUCUAAGGGGACGAGUUUUGACCACAAAGGGUUGUGGGCCCACGGCUAGCUUACACCUGAACCAUCGAGGGUCACACUGCUCGUGCACAUGAGAUCAUUGAAUAAACGGUCAAAGGUAGUUGGGUUUCGGGCACGCGUACGCAGCGGAAAACAAAAAUUUUAUGUGAUUUAAACGACUUUAAAGCACACAAGCACAUGCCCGACAAAAUUAAAUCAAUUAAUUGCGUACCUUUGCGCUUCCAGCAAAAUUAAAAACAACAACAUGCUUGAUUACUUAAUCGAAAUUAAAUCAAUUAGCAUGCUCGCGUUUAAAUCAAAUAAUCAUGCUCGCAAUAAUAAAACCAAUUUAAUGUAGACACAUAAAGUCAUACAAGUUUCUUAUUAAAACGAACAUGCAUAUAUUAAUUUAAACGUAACCGAAUCGAAUGACAAUAGAUUCGAAACAUUACCUCUUGAAGCGUGAGGUAGGCGCACUAAGCAAAGCUAGAUUGCCACAGAACCCAAUCCGUGCAAUCCGGGGCAGCAACGGCGAUGAUCCGAGCUACGGUGGCGCGUGUGAUUCACGUGCUGUCCUUGAAGCAUCAAUCGAAUGAAGACUCGAGAAGAUGGCCAGCUGCUCUUCCCACUCCUAUUGAUCCAACCUGUUUGCUGAUCUGAAAUUACAGCCUUGCUCCGACUUCAAUAUCUCCAUGCUUAUUUACUGGAUGGAUAAUUCCUUCUGGAAGAAUGCAUAUUUACUAGUCGUGAAGCUUCUGUCAAAAUUUCACGUCCAUCCGAUCACCGGUUGAUUUAUGGCGAAUUUUCUCGCUGGACAGCGCAGAAAAUCCGAGAGCAGUUUUUCAGAAUUGCCUUCUCGCAUCUUCGAUUCUUCAAUCUUCCUCCUCUUGGAUUUCACCUCGUAUACUUCGAUCAACUAAACACGUGGCACUAGACACGUAAUAGUCAGAAUAACGGAACAAAAGAAAGAAGGAAAGGAAUACCGAAAGAGAUCGGCCAACGGGUGGCCGAUUCUGGCGAAUUUCCGGCGACGGCGCGGUGGUGGUAGCCGUGGGAGAGGGUGGCUGAUCGAGAGAGGCAGCGGCUAGGGUUAUGAACGUGUGUUCUCAUAGUUGUGUUGUGUGCAAGACCUAUAAAUCAAGUAUUUAUAUGUCUUGCAUAAAACCCUAACGGGCUUAAGUUGGACAGGGCCCAACUGCUUAAGUCCGUUAGUUCUUUUACUUGCUCGUCUCUCUCAAUUCAAUGAUCGGAAAAUUGUAACGAUUACAUUUUCGGAAUCAUUAUAAUGUCCUCGUCAUUACGAGUUCCAACUCUCGAUUUCCAACUUUCCAAAAGUGGAAACCCUAAUUCAGUGCACUUUCUAAAUUUGGAAACUUCCCGAUUUAGAAAGUCCACUAAUACAUUUGCCUAUUCUUUUCCUUUUCUUAUUCUCAUUCAUAAUUCCAAAUUACGAAUGUUGGACCCAAUCAUAUUGACUUCCAAUCAUGCAAAGAUAAACUAUUUUAUCUCUGACCGUUUAUUCAAAGAUCUCAUGUGCACGAGCAGUGUGACCCUCGAUGGUUCAGGUGUAAGCUAGCCGUGGGCCCACAACCCUUUGUGGUCAAAACUCGUCCCCUUAGAGUUACGAUUAAGAUGAAACUCGUUUCACCUUAAUCACCCAACGAAUCAAGAUUGGCGUCUAGCAACUACGCGUCAUUAUUCCCUAGAUACAAAUGAAGUGCCUGCAAGAACCUUCAGAUAUAGUUAACGUACAGUACGGUCCCUUCGAUUCAUAUGUCCCGAUUGAACUAGAGGCAUUGGUUCGUCGAGACCUCUUUAUAUGUUCAAUGACGGUGCGAUCGUUCUACGUGUUGUAAUCGUCACGUGCAUGACUUAGAGAAUCGAAUUCUCUAAUCAUCACUUAGUCAGCUCUGGCCAGAGACUUAGAAUGAUUACAAACUUUCAGAACACACAGGACAUCCAAGACUAUUCUAGCGAUCGAAUCCCCGACUACAAUGCACAGACCUCCCACUAGAUUUCGGACUGCACGAACACUGGCCAUUGGGAUGGUCCUCGGUGGAACUCAGGGACAGGUCACGAUACAGCUGGUCCUCUAGUGAAGUCACGGUGAUGUCUAGGUCAUAAGGACUAAUGGUGUACAACUAUACCAUAGAUAUCUCUACUCGAUUAUUGGGAACCACUUAGAGAUUUCUAGGGUGAGGGAGUUCAGUGAACUCGUCAACUUACGAGCACCCACUUAUGCAUGCCGAUAUCACAAUACCGUUUACUGAUGAGAUGCAGUACACAUACACUAAGUGCUAGUCUUAACGGGAAAGGCCGAUAUCCUCAUUAGUGGCGUAACCCUUCGACUAGGAACACGUUUAACAGUUAUAAUACUUGAGUAAAUAUCUCACGAUCCUAACGAUCAAUUACUAGUACUUGUAAUAACUGUAAGGACUAUAUCUAUGCUUGUGACAAAGGGACAAAGAUAUAGAAUGCCAAGGUGUUUUAUCAUUAAUACGAAUAAAGGUUCGUUUAUUACUAUAAUAAAUACGAAAGACCACAGCCAAAAGUUGGCUUGUUGGUCACCUACUCUAACAAUCUCCCACUUGACCUAAAGCCAACUACCCAUGAAUCGCAAUCCCAUCGACUCUCGAUGUUUCUCAUGGACCGAUCUCGGUAAAGGCUUCGUAAAGGGGUCUGCAACGUUCUCUUCCGAGGUGACUCGUUCUACUUUAACUUCACCUCUAUCAAUGAUCUCUUGGAUCACAUGAUACUUUCUCAGAAUAUGCUUCGACUUCUGAUGAGAUCGUGGCUCCUUAGCUUGCGCCACGUCUCCGGUGUUAUCACAGUACAACGGUACUGGAUCACUAGCAUCAGGAAUGACACCCAACUCAUCCAAGUCCCUUCCUUUGCAGCUUCGGACACUGCAAUGUAUUCUGCUUGGGUAGUGGAAUCGGCCGUCGUGCUUUGCUUGGAACUCUUCCAACACACGGCACCACCAUUAAGCGUGAAUAUAAAUCCAGAAUUCGACUUUGAGUCGUCCACAUCCGAUUGAAAACUAGAGUCGGUAAAACCCUCUAAUUUCAACUUGGCACCCCCAUAGACCAAAAAUAUAUCCUUAGUCCUUCGCAAGUACUUGAGGAUAUCUUUCACGGCUUUCUAGUGAGCCGGGCCGGGGUUAGACUGAUAUCUGCUCGUGACACUCACAGCAUACGCAAUAUCGGGUCUCGUACAUAGCAUGCCAUACAUUAUGCUUCCUAUGGCAGAAGCAUAAGGCGUCCUUUUCAUCUACUCGUUUUCACUAGGUGUUUGCGGACACAUAGAUUUCGAGAGACGAACCCCAUGGGACAUUGGCAAGAAUCCCUUCUUGGAUUCUUCCAUGCUAAACCGUUUCAUAACGGUGUCUAUGUACAGGCUUUGCGAUAAGCCAAGCAUCUUUCUCGCUCUAUCUCUAUAGAUGCGUAUUCCUAAUACAUAAGAUGCUUCUCCCAAAUCCUUCAUUGAGAAACGUGUGGACAACCAUGCUUUCGUUUGCUGCAACAUUCCUACGUCAUUCCCAAUGAGUAGAAUGUCAUCAACGUAAAACACUAAAAAUAUCAAUGCCCUCCCACUAACUUUCUUGUAUACACAAGGUUCCUCCGGAUUCUUCUCAAAAUCAAACUCUUUGAUAGUUGAGUCGAACCUAAUGUUCCAACUACGGGAUGCUUGUUUCAAUCCAUAAAUGGAUCGCUGGAGCUUGCAAACCUUUUGCUCACUUCCAGAAGAUAUGAAGCCUUCCGGUUGCGCCAUGUAAAUUUCUUCCUCAAUAUCUCUAUUAAGGAAGGCGGUCUUCACAUCCAUUUUCCAUAUCUCGUAGUCGUACCACGCAGCUAUGGCCAGCAAAAUCCUAAUGGACUUCAGCAUCGCGACUGGCGAAAAGGUUUUCUCAUAGUCAACACCUUGCCUUUGAGUGUAUCCUUUUGCUACCAAUCUAGCUUUAUAGGUCGAUACCUUUCCAUCCACUCCAAUUUUCUUCUUAUAGAUCCACUUGCAGCCAAUAGGAACAAUUCCCUUAGGUGGAUCUACCAAGGUCCACACCUUGUUGGAGUACAUGGAGUCCAUUUCGGAUUUCAUGGCAGUUAGCCAAUGUCCCAUGUCCGCAUCUGAUACGGCCUCAUUGUAUGUUCUUGGAUCUUGUCCAAGAUCAACAUGAUCUUCAUCAUUCUCGAGGAGGAAUAACCUAUCCGGCAUUUUCCGAACUCUUUCGGAUCUACGUACCGUAGGUUCAGGAGGUAUAUUAGUGGAUUGUUGUAUUGGUUCGAUUACUUUUUCUUGCGCUUGAACUUCACUUUGUGGUUCUUGAACGACUUCAAGUUCUAUCAUGCUGCCUUUUCUAUCGGAUAGAAACUCCAUUUCCAAAAAGGUGGCAUUUCUUGAAACAAACGUCUUUGCUUCCUUGACAUAAUAGAAUUCGUAUCCCAUUGAAUCUUCGGGAUACCCCACAAAAUAGCACAAGUCGGAUUUACUAUCCAACUUAUCUCCCACUAAUCGCUUCACAUAAGCGGGAAAACCCCAUAUAUCCUAAUAUGUUUGUAGUUGGGUUCCGGGAAUGCCAAAGUUCUUUAUCAUUAAUAUCUCACUACGUUUUGCUGAAUUUCACCUUAGGGGCCCCCACUACCUUCACCCACUUCGAACUUGCUGUUUGGAAAGGGAACUCUUUCCUUUCUCUUCUUUUGGGGAGAACUAUUCUUUCCAGAAGUAACAGCAAUGAGAACAGACUUCUCUUUCUUAAUGGUGGACUCGAAACUGACCAACAUGUUCAUUAACUAAUCCAAGGGAGGAUCUAGUUUGUUCAUGUUGAAGUUCACUAUGGACAAUUCAUAGGAACUAGGAAGAGACAACAGGAUCAAAUCCAACGAGAGCUCGGCCGGGAGGGUGACAUCGAGAUGCACUAGCUUUUCAAGGAGAGUGAUCAUUUUGAGAUAGUGCUCGUGGACCGAAGUCCCUUUGCGCAGUCUCGCCGUGAUCAACUCCUUUGUAGCAGCGUACCUCGAUGCCCUAAUAUUCUCACCAUACAUGCUAUCGAGAUGAGCCUUUAUAUCGAAAGCAUGCAUGUGAGACUCAUAUUUCCUCGCAAGCGCGGGCUCCAUGGCGGCUAUCAUAUAGCACGUAGCAUGUGUGUCAUCUUUCUUCCAUGCUUCAUAAGUUUCCUUUUCAGCAUCAGUCGCUGUGGCAGGUAUAGCGGCGGGAAGUCUCUCGUUCAAAACAUAGAGACGCCCCUCAACGGUUAGCACAAGCUUAAGACUACGCAACCAAUCUAGGUAAUUAGGGCCAUUGAGUUUAUUGUCGAGGAUUGACAUUAUGGGAUUCUUAAACAUGAUUAUGUGAGAGGUAUAGAGAAGAGGAUUAUUAGAGAUUCGCGUUAAAUGAUUGUUACAAUUAAAUGUUUGGCCUUAUGUUAUUUAAUUGUUCUCCCACUAAUUUUAUCGAGUUCCACUUCCCUCUAGUAGACAAACGAGAAAACUGAUUUUUCUUAACGGGCUUUAGGUCCAAUAGACAAAUAUAACCCGUAGUUAAUCUAGCCCGAUUAUAUUUGCCCAGAGGUAGAUCACAAUCAAUCAUAUCCACAAUAUGACCCUAAAUUAAUUUUCCUCACACUUGAUAAUGACCUAAGUUAAUCUCGCGAAUAUCAAAAUCGUUGUGUGUCAAGUCUGACCUACCAAUCAAAGAUGCUCAUAGAACUUGAUUAUGCCAAACUAAUGCAGUCCCUAGUUAAUCUAGCCGACCACGUUAAUCCAACAUAACCCUUUUCUAUGGCUACCUUCAUCGCUAUGUGAAUUCGAUUAAAGCUUACUCUACCAUAGCACUCCCCGCUGACACGGCUUACUGCACUACAGUAAAGGGCUACACAUAAUCCAACCGUUGGCAGAAGGAAAGAAAUAACUCAACAGAUUGGGUUUUUCUUUAUAGCUUGAAAUGAUUCUUAAUUAGAUUAAGAAUGAGGGAUUUUUAUUAAAAGUUUUAUCUCAUCAGAAGUUUCGGAUAGGUCUAUGUGAUUCCUACAUCUAUGUUCUCUAAAGGUAUAUGGAAACGCAUAUUGUCCUAAGAGGAACAUACGACCUAACUACAUAAUUAAUUACAUUAAUGAAUUAUCGGGGUUUUCAAAAUAAUUAUAGAACCUCAACUAACAUAAAUCAAUCAAAUAAUGUUGAGGUACUAUUAAUUAAGUUGAAGUAUAAUCAAUAUUAUACGUGUGUUCUAUUAAUUGAAAUCAAUUUAACGAUUUAAAUUAAUUAAUUAAUCUAACACCUAUUUAUUAAAAUAGAUGAUUGCUGAUCCGAUUAUCUAAUUGGGAUUAAUUGAAAAUAAUUUUCCAAAAAUUAAAAUCAAUUUGUUUUAAAUUUAAUUUUAGAAAUCUCAAAUAAUUUUUUUUUUUUUUAUUUUUUUUUUUUAUUUUUUUUUUUUGUUCAGUGAACCGGUUCGGACCGAAGCUGUCCGGUUCUGCCCAGUCCAGUUGACCCAAAUCAGUGGGCCGGGUCAGUCAGACCGAGAACCGGUCUGACCGACCCGAAUCCACUUCGAUUCGGUCAAUUGGAUCGUGCACAACCAUCGAACCGGCCGGUUCGACCGGUUCGAUCCGAACAACAAAAACCGACGUUUUAAAAACAAUUUCAGAUCCGAUUUUCCAAUUUUAAACAAUUUUAAAGCUGGAAAAACUCUAAACAAUAUUUCAAAAAUAUUUUAAACUUACGAAAACUCCCAAUUACAUAAUACAACAAUCGCUACUUUAAUAAAUCGAACAUGCAUAAAAUCAUAGCAUAUUAAACAAACGCAAUUAAUUGCGCAACGAGCUCUGAUUGGUAGGUUAGACUUGGAUGUUGCCGGAAUCAUUGGAUGUUGCCGAAUCCACUUAUUCAUUGGAUGGACAAUUCCUUCUGGAAGAAUGUAGAUUUAUGAGUCGUGAAGCUUCUGUCAAAAUUUCACGUCCAUCCGACCACCGGUUGAUUUAUGGCGAAUUUUGAAGUCGGAGCAAGGCUGUAAUUUCAGAUCAGCAAACAUGUUGGAUCAAUAGGAGUGGGAAGAGCAGUUGGCCAUCUUCUCGAGUCUUCGUUCGAUUGAUGCUUCAAGGACAGCCCGUGAAUCACACGCGCCGCCGUAGCUCGGAUCAUCGCCGUUGCUGCCCCGGAUUGCACGGAUUGGUUUCCGUGGCAAUCUAGCUUUGCUUAGUGCACCUACCUCACGCUUCAAGAGGUAAUGUUUCGAAUCUAUUGUCAUUCGAUUCGGUUACGUUUAAAUUAAUAUAUGCAUGUUCGUUUUAAUAAGAAACUUGUAUGAUUUUAUGUGUGUACAUGAAAUUGGUUUUAUUAUUGCGAGCAUGAUUAUUAGAUUUAAACGCGAGCAUGCUAAUUGAUUUAAUUUCGAUUAAGUAAUCAAGCAUGUUGUUGUUUUAAUUUCGCUGGAAGCGCAAAGGUACGCAAUGUAUGUUGUUUUUAAUUUCGCUGGAAGCGCAAAGGUACGCAAUUAAUUGUUUAUAAUCAUCGGGCAUGUGUUUAUGUGCUUUAAAGUUGUUUAAAUCGCAUAAAAUUUUUGUUUUCCGCUGCGUACACGUGCCCGAAACCCAACACCUAGAGGUGAAUUCAUUGUUUCAAACGCCUAUCUUUCAAAUUUUGGCGUAAUCACCUCAAUUCAAGAAAAUUUGCCACACAUUCCCAUAUUACCUACCUCGGACCAAAGAGCCUAACAAUUGAAAGCCACAAAGCCCCAAUGAUCCCAAUAGCUUAUUGUUCAAUAUAAGUUGAGUAAAAUAAUUUGGUGAGUAUUUGGAGUCAAAUAUAUGCAUGUAAGUACAAAUUCUUUCUAUCUUUAACUUGCAAAUAUUGGAUACUUGAAGCAAUUGUAUGAUUUGUGGUUUUUGGUAAUAGUGAGUAACUAAGUGCCGUUGAAUGUUAAGCUUGCGAAUACCUAGGAAUUAUCAUCAUAAUUGCAAGUUCUGAAAACACGAAGUUGACCAAUCGACCUAUGUAAUGAGAUGUAUUAUCAUGGUUUGUGUUCUUAAUUUGAUUUUACUUGAGGACAAGCAAAAGUUCAAGUUUGGGGGUGUGUUAAGUGUAUAUUUAUACACUUAAUUGUACCUUUAAAUUGGAGCUUUUGGUGUGUUUUAAUGAUAAUUGGUGCUUAAAAUGGCUAUUAUUUGUAUUUUAGGUGCAAAUUGGAGAAUUGACAACUUUUGGGGUGAAAACUGCAAAUUCAGAGAAAAAGUGGGCCAAAAGUGAAAAAAUCAGAUUUCUGAAGAUUUAAAAGACCGCACGGCCGUGCGGAUUUUAGUUCAAAAUCUCACACGGCCGUCCGGGUGGACGUGAUGGCGCAGUGAAGGAAACUCAAUUAUACAAGGAAACCCGCCCUAUUAGACUUUUGCACCCU